rnacentral:lncRNA from 1 species
GGGAGCAGUAUGUCCAACACGAUUGCAAUAAUGGCAUACAACGUUUGGGUUGUGCCUAUGCCAAGGUUGAGCCAAAUAUGUUCUAGGUGUUCUAUAGUCGUUCCUAGAAGCGUUGAAAUCCCUAGCGUUUGAUCUAGGUGGUCUAGUGUAGUUUAUCCUAGACUUGUUCAUAAAAAUCCUAGAAUCAUUUCUAGGCGAUCUAAACUGAUUAACUCUAGACUUGUUUAAGAACCUAGCAUCGUUUCUAGGUUGUCUAGUCUCUUCCCAGACUUGUUCACAAAAAUCCUAGAAUUGUUUCUAGGCGAUCUAAAGUGAUUAACUCUAGACUCAUUAUUCCAAUUCCUAGAAUUGUAUCUAGGCGGUCUAAAAUUAUUAUCCUAGACUUGUUAAAGAACCUAGCAUCGUUUCUAGGUUGUCUAGUCUCGAUCCUAGAAUGCUGUCUAAAAUUACUGUUAUUAGGCUUGUU